rnacentral:lncRNA from 1 species
UAAUCUUUCAGUUUGUUUGUUUAUAUGUAUUCGUGAUAAUAUGCUGCAUUUUACUUAGUAUUUUUUUGUGCAUAUAUUUGUUAGCAACUAUCUAAUGAGUCUUGGUUCAUUUCUUGCGUAGUUUAAAUAUUUUGUAGGAGUGCCUGGUUUAUGAUUCAUCUAGGAGGAAAAAAUUCUGCCAUUUCUCUGUUUUUUUAAAGAAAAUUUGCGAGUGACUGUUUGGUAAUCAUUGUGUGUUCUUAUUGGGUAAAUCUCUUAUCUUUUAUUCUGAAUACUACAAAGAUCUCUGUUUUUUGUAUGUAUGUGUGUGUAUGUGUUUAGCAUUUGAACCAGGGACUGCAGAUUGGAAAAUCCCAGUUCAUUGGCUUAGGAUCGUUCUUCUGGGGCUCAUGGCAUAUCUGUUGAAUUUUGUCUGAUAUUUCUGGUGAUUUUUCUACUUCCAUUAAGUAACAAGAGUUCGUUUUCCCAUGGGGUAUAAGUGGAUCUAUUUGCAGUUGUCCAAUGCAUCUUCAUAGCUUGAUUCAAUAUACUGUUUAGUGUGGUUUAUGUCCCCUGUACUUUGAAAGUAAUUUGCUUACAAAUGUUUGCCCACAAGAAGAUUUAUAUGUUGGAAUCUUGAAUGAUUGAAUUGUACAUGGAUAUCUGUUCAGGUGUAUUGAGAGCUUCUUGGACGCAACAUGCUUUAAAUGGUUGUGCUGAUUUCCUGAUUGCAGACUGAAAUCUUUGUUGGCAUGGACUGCUGUACAUCUGUUGCUGCUUCACCUAUCUGCUCCUGCAACGUGCUUUAAAUGGUUGUGCUGAUUUCCUGAUUGCAGACUGAAAUCUUUGUUGGCAUGGACUGCUGUACAUCUGUUGCUGCUUCACCUAUCUGCUCCUAUGUGUGGCUGUUAGUUAAUAUUUGCUAGACUCAAGCUAGGACUAGGUUACUUUAAAAAUUGCUGUAUCGUUUGAUUAGUGUAUUGUGGAUUAUGUCAGUUUUGCUAUCUAAUAUUACCCGUACGUCCUGUUUCUUGUAUGUUUCUUAUCUGGCAAUCUUUCUAAUGAUCUGGAGAAUAUGGCAUUCUUCAAAGUCUUCUAUCAUGUUAUAUGAUAGCCAUUAUUGGCUUAGCUUUUUCAUAUGUAGACUAUGAGGGAUCUUUAUAUUCGAUGAUCUGAAACAAAAUAUUCCAUACAAACAAAAUCUCUAUAUUAUUUUAAUUUUAAUUAUAGUAUUUUAAAAUAAGAACAAUACUAAUUCAUACAUAUUUGGAGCGGUGAUUGGAAGAUUGAGAAGCACAAAAGUUUGUGGUAGUAAGUUCUAAAAUGAACACCGUUUGACUGGACUGCAUUUUCUAGUUGUCUCAAUAACUAGAGAAGAGAAGGGUCACUGAUUUGAAUCAAUAAUUUGAAGCAAGGGCAAUAUAUUCAUAUUGUUUUUAUUAGAGUUAUGUCCAUUAGCAUCUGGACUGGUGUUAGGGAGACUGGAAACUUGCAAAUGUUAUGUGGUAUCGAGAACCAAAUUCAGCUGUUUGCCAAUUGCCUGCAUUUUUUAGCUGUCUCAAUAACCAAGUGGCGUAGCUAUCACUUAUCGAAACAUAAAAGAAGAAAAUGAAAACUCUAGUUUGCUUUUCCUUUAAUCCCACCUUGUUUGGAUUUAUUGGAAUACAGUCCAGGAAAAAAUCCACUUAUUUUUGGGGAAUUAGUGUCAUUAUCAAUAUUGUUCUACCAUCUGAAGAUCCUUGUUACUUUUCUUCCUCUCCUGAUUUUCCUUGUUUUCUUUUGCGGGUGAACUUGGGAAAGGGAGAUAGUGUAAGUCAGUCGGGUUAACAAACACAUAAUGCAAGUGUGUCUGUGUGUGUUGUCUUGUGGGUGAUAGGGGUGGUUUGAUAUAUCAGUGACUUGAGCUUAGCAGAGUCCUGUAUACAUCACUAUGCUGUUGCUGUUUCCAGGAUUCGUGUUAGAUUGAACCUAAUACUAGCUUUGUACUUGCUCCAAAUUGAAGAGGCGUCAUUUGUGCCAUAGUUUUGGUUUUCACCAUUUAUCAAGCAUACUGGAUCUAUUUUCAGCUUAUUUGGUGGUUCCUGUUCAUGAUUUGCACUUGUAUUUGAGACCUAUUAUUGAAUCUAAGUGGUGAUGUAGACAAGAUUGCUUGUUCUUUGAAAAUUCCUAUACAUGAUGAGAAAGUGAUUGCUUGUUCUUUGAAAAUUGAAAUCGAGAUGGAUAUCUAUUAGUUUUGAGGGCAUAGAAUUAGUUUUGUUUUGAUUUCGACAUGCUAUUAGAAACAAGUUCCUAUUUUCAUCUUUCAUUGGCGCUGCUUGAGCAAUGUUCUUGGAAUUGUAUUAGAUCUAUUAUUGAAUCUAAGCAGUGAUGUAGACACGAUUGCUUGUUCUUUUUAAAUUCCUAGACAUAAUCAGAGAGUGAUUGCUUGUUCUUUGAAAUUGAAAUCAAGAUGGAUAUCUAUUCCUGCUAUGAUCUGUGGGUCUAUCCUGGUUGGCAUGAGGGCAUAGAAUUAGUUUUAUUGUGACUUCGACAUGCUAUUGGAAACAAGUUCCUGUUUUCAUCUUUCAUUGGCGCUGCUGGAGCAAUGUUCCUGGAAUUGUAUUAGAUUUUAUUCGCAGUCAAAAGGAUUAUGGAACAUACCAAUUUCUUGCUUAAGGUCACAUGUUGUAUUCACUUCUAAAAAAUAUUUCCAAAUUGGAUACCAGAUGUGUCAGAAACAAAGUUGUCACCCGUCUCAGUCUAAAGUUUUGGUUUUUUGGAUUUGAGUAAAUAUUUCUUUUGCGUAAUUGGAAAAGUUAUGCGUAGUUUUUUUUUUGGUUUUUUGUUUUUUAACCCAAUUGAGUUCCUCUGCUGCCUACCCUGCUGAUGUGGAAGUGUCGUCACCAGAACAAAAUCCUUUUCCUUGUUUUUUGGUGGCUCUCCACUCACCAUUGCAGAGGUGCAAUGGGGGUGGGGAGAGUGAAAGCUAUAUUGCAGGUACCAAGGUAUUGAAUUCUAAGAUAAUGACGGCUACUAAUUGGCGAAGAUCAAGGUGCGGUAGAUGAUGAAAAUGCUGAAUGGUGAGACGACCAGGCUCUAAGGCCAUAAAAGAAGAAAUUUGUAGUACUAGUUCUAGGACUAUAUUGUUGUACACUCUGAGCAAUAAGAAUAAAAUGUCAAAAGUUAGUUAAUCUUGGUGAACUUCAGCACAAUCUCAAUGCAGCUGUAUUCAGAAGCUUCCAUUAAUUGGUUUCUUCCUUUUUUCUA